rnacentral:lncRNA from 1 species
GGCAAGGCCCCUGUCAACAGAUCUACAAAAGAAACAGCUACUCCCAAGAGUUCAUAUAAAGAAAUUGUCAACUAGCACAGAAGUCCUGAUUGGGCCGUCAAGGCCACCAUGAUCUCUAUACCAAAACUGAAAGCAUGUAUAUAACAAGACAAUGCAUCACACAACUAACAAGCUUCAGCAAACCAACAAACUAGGCCAGCAUGGCCAUAACGUAGUUAUAAACCCCACACACUAGUCUGCAAGCCUCUAAGAG